CCUACGGGGAGCUGCAGUGGGGAAUAUUGGACAAUGGGCGAAAGCCUGAUCCAGCCAUGCCGCGUGUGUGAAGAAGGCCUUCGGGUUGUAAAGCACUUUCAGUGGGAAAGAAAGCCUUGGGGCUAAUACCCUCGAGGAAGGACAUCACCCACAGAAGAAGCACCGGCUAACUCCGUGCCAGCAGCCGCGGUAAUACGGAGGGUGCGAGCGUUAAUCGGAAUUACUGGGCGUAAAGCGCGCGUAGGCGGUCUGAUAAGCCGGUUGUGAAAGCCCCGGGCUCAACCUGGGAACGGCAUCCGGAACUGUCAGGCUAGAGUGCAGGAGAGGAAGGUAGAAUUCCCGGUGUAGCGGUGAAAUGCGUAGAGAUCGGGAGGAAUACCAGUGGCGAAGGCGGCCUUCUGGACUGACACUGACGCUGAGGUGCGAAAGCGUGGGUAGCAAACAGGAUUAGAUACCCUUGUAGUC
rnacentral:rRNA from 1 species